rnacentral:rRNA from 1 species
AUACGUAGGUGGCAAGCGUUGUCCGGAAUUAUUGGGCGUAAAGCGCGCGCAGGUGGUUCCUUAAGUCUGAUGUGAAAGCCCCCGGCUCAACCGGGGAGGGUCAUUGGAAACUGGGGAACUUGAGUGCAGAAGAGGAUAGUGGAAUUCCAAGUGUAGCGGUGAAAUGCGUAGAGAUUUGGAGGAACACCAGUGGCGAAGGCGACUGUCUGGUCUGUAACUGACACUGAGGCGCGAAAGCGUGGGGAGCAAACAGGAUUAGAUACCCUGGUAGUCCACGCCGUAAACGAUGAGUGCUAAGUGUUGGGGGGUUUCCGCCCCUCAGUGCUGCAGCUAACGCAUUAAGCACUCUGCCUGGGGAGUACGGUCGCAAGACUGAAACUCAAAUGAAUUGACGGGG